rnacentral:rRNA from 1 species
UCGGGAAUUUUGGGCAAUGGGCGAAAGCCUGACGCAGUAACGCCGCGUGGAGGAUGAAGGCCUUCGGGUUGUAAACUCCUGUCAGAAGGAAAGACGGAGAAGGGGUAAAUAAUCUCUUCUUCCUGACGGUACCUUCAAAGGAAGCCCCGGCUAAUUCCGUGCCAGCAGCCGCGGUAAUACGGAAGGGGCAAGCGUUGUUCGGAAUUAUUGGGCGUAAAGGGCGCGUAGGUGGUCCUGUAUGUCUGCCGUGAAAGCGCGCGGCUCAACCGCGUUCCGUCGGUAGAAACUGCAAGACUAGAGGCUGGGAGGGGCUGGUGGAAUUCCCUGUGUAGCGGUGAAAUGCGUAGAGAUGGGGGAGAACACUCGUGGCGAAGGCGGCCAGCUGGACCAGUUCUGACACUGAGGCGCGAUAGCGUGGGGAGCAAACAGGAUUAGAUACCCACGUAGUCCCUGAGCGGGCUGGCAAGGCGCAU